GCUAGUGUAGCUUAAUUAAAGCAUAAUACUGAAGAUGUUAAGAUGAACCCUAAGAAGUUCCACGGGCA
rnacentral:tRNA from 1 species